AGGACGAACGCUGGCGGCGCGCUUAACACAUACAAGUCGAGCGAGAACCAGUCCUUCGGGACUGGGGACAGCGGCGAACGGGUGAGUAACACGUGGGUAAUCGACCCUUGGUACUGGGAUAGCCCGGGGAAACCCGGAUUAAUACCGGAUGGCCCAGCAGCUCUUCGGGGCGGCUGGAAAAGGUAGCUUCGGCCUCCGACCAAGGACGAGCCCGCGGCGGAUUAGCUUGUUGGCGGGGUAACGCCCACCAAGGCGACGAUCCGUAGCUGGUCUGAGAGGACGAUCAGCCACACUGGGACUGAGACACGGCCCAGACUCCUACGGGAGGCAGCAGUGGGGAAUCUUGCGCAAUGGGCGAAAGCCUGACGCAGCGACGCCGCGUGGGGGAAGAAGGCUUUCGGGUUGUAAACCCCUUUCAGGAAGGACGAAGCUACUCGGGUUAAUAGCCCAGAGGGUGACGGUACUUCCAGAAGAGCCCCGGCUAACUACGUGCCAGCAGCCGC
rnacentral:rRNA from 1 species